UAUGAACGCUGGCGGCAUGCCUAACACAUGCAAGUCGAACGAAGGCUUCGGCCUUAGUGGCGCACGGGUGCGUAACGCGUGGGAAUCUGCCCUCAGGUUCGGAAUAACAGCGAGAAAUUGCUGCUAAUACCGGAUGAUAUCGCGAGAUCAAAGAUUUAUCGCCUGAGGAUGAGCCCGCGUAGGAUUAGCUAGUUGGUGUGGUAAAGGCGCACCAAGGCGACGAUCCUUAGCUGGUCUGAGAGGAUGAUCAGCCACACUGGGACUGAGACACGGCCCAGACUCCUACGGGAGGCAGCAGUGGGGAAUAUUGGACAGUGGGCGAAAGCCUGAUCCAGCAAUGCCGCGUGAGUGAUGAAGGCCUUAGGGUUGUAAAGCUCUUUUACCCGGGAUGAUAAUGACAGUACCGGGAGAAUAAGCUCCGGCUAACUCCGUGCCAGCAGCCGCGGUAA
rnacentral:rRNA from 1 species